GACGAACGCUGGCGGCGUGCUUAACACAUGCAAGUCGAACGGAAAGGCCCUGCUUUUGUGGGGUGCUCGAGUGGCGAACGGGUGAGUAACACGUGAGUAACCUGCCCUUGACUUUGGGAUAACUUCAGGAAACUGGGGCUAAUACCGGAUAGGAGCUCCUGCUGCAUGGUGGGGGUUGGAAAGUUUCGGCGGUUGGGGAUGGACUCGCGGCUUAUCAGCUUGUUGGUGGGGUAGUGGCUUACCAAGGCUUUGACGGGUAGCCGGCCUGAGAGGGUGACCGGCCAAAUUGGGACUGAGAUACGGCCGCGACUCCUACGGGAGGCAGCAGUGGGGAAUAUUGCACAAUGGGCGGAAGCCUGAUGCAGUAACGCCGCGUGCGGGAUGACGGCCUUCGGGUUGUAAACCGCUUUCGCCUGUGACGAAGCGUGAGUGACGGUAAUGGGUAAAGAAGCACCGGCUAACUACGUG
rnacentral:rRNA from 1 species